UACGUAGGCAGCAAGCGUUGUUCGGAAUUAUUGGGCGUAAAGAGUGUGUAGGCGGUGCUCCAAGUCUGUUGUGAAAUCUCCCGGCUUAACUGGGAGGGUGCAGCGGAAACUAGAGUGCUAGAGGGUGGGAGAGGUAAGCGGAAUUCCUGGUGUAGCGGUGAAAUGCGUAGAUAUCAGGAGGAACACCUGUGGUGUAGACAGCUUACUGGACCACUUCUGACGCUGAGACACGAAAGCGUGGGUAGCAAACAGG
rnacentral:rRNA from 1 species